rnacentral:rRNA from 1 species
UACGUAGGGUGCAAGCGUUAAUCGGAAUUACUGGGCGUAAAGCGUGCGCAGGCGGUGAUGUAAGACAGGUGUGAAAUCCCCGGGCUUAACCUGGGAACUGCAUUUGUGACUGCAUCGCUGGAGUGCGGCAGAGGGGGAUGGAAUUCCGCGUGUAGCAGUGAAAUGCGUAGAUAUGCGGAGGAACACCGAUGGCGAAGGCCAUCCCCUGGGCCUGCACUGACGCUCAUGCCCGAAAGCGUGGGGAGCAAACAGG